UGCAGUCGAGCGAGAAGACGUAGCAAUACGUUUGUAAAGCGGCGAACGGGUGAGGAAUACAUGGGUAACCUACCCUAGAGUGGGGAAUAACUAGCCGAAAGGUUAGCUAAUACCGCGUACGCUCCUUGGACUUCGGUACAGGGAGGAAAGCGAUACCGUGGGUAUCGCGCUCUUGGAUGGGCUCAUGUCCUAUCAGCUUGUUGGUGAGGUAACGGCUCACCAAGGCUUCGACGGGUAGCUGGUCUGAGAGGACGAUCAGCCACACUGGCACUGCGACACGGGCCAGACUCCUACGGGAGGCAGCAGUAAGGAAUAUUGCGCAAUGGGCGAAAGCCUGACGCAGCGACGCCGCGUGGGGGAUGAAGGUCUUCGGAUUGUAAACCCCUUUCGGGAGGGAAGAUGGAACGAGCAAUCGUUCGGACGGUACCUCCAGAAGCAGCCACGGCUAACUUCGUGCCAGCAGCCGCGGUAAUACGAAGGUGGCAAGCGUUGUUCGGAUUUACUGGGCGUACAGGGAGCGUAGGCGGUUCGGUAAGCCCUCUGUGAAAUCUCCAGGCUUAACCUGGAACAGUCGGAGGGGACUGCUGGGCUAGAGGACGGGAGAGGAGCGCGGAAUUCCCGGUGUAGCGGUGAAAUGCGUAGAGAUCGGGAGGAAGGCCGGUGGCGAAGGCGGCGCUCUGGAACGUUUCUGACGCUGAGGCUCGAAAGCGUGGGGAGCAAACAGGAUUAGAUACCCUGGUAGUCCACGCCUUAAACUAUGAAUACUAAGUGUCGGCGGUUUACCGCCGGUGCCGCAGCUAACGCAUUAAGUAUUCCGCCUGGGAAGUACGGCCGCAAG
rnacentral:rRNA from 1 species